UCCCCGGNCUCAACCUGGGAACUGCGUUNUGAACUGGGUGACUAGAGUGUGUCAGAGGGAGGUAGAAUUCCACGUGUAGCAGUGAAAUGCGUAGAGAUGUGGAGGAAUACCGAUGGCGAAGGCAGCCUCCUGGGAUAACACUGACGUUCAUGCCCGAAAGCGUGGGUAGCAAACAGGAUUAGAUACCCUGGUAGUCCACGCCCUAAACGAUGUCGAUUAGCUGUUGGGCAGCAUGACUGCUUAGUAGCGAAGCUAACGCGUGAAAUCGACCGCCUGGGGAGUACGGUCGCAAGAUUAAAACUCAAAGGAAUUGACGGGGACCCGCACAAGCGGUGGAUGAUGUGGAUUAAUUCGAUGCAACGCGAAGAACCUUACCUGGUCUUGACAUGUACGGAACCCUCCAGAGACGGAGGGGUGCCUUCGGGAGCCGUAACACAGGUGCUGCAUGGCUGUCGUCAGCUCGUGUCGUGAGAUGUUGGGUUAAGUCCCGCAACGAGCGCAACCCUUGUCAUUAGUUGCCAUCAUUAAGUUGGGCACUCUAAUGAGACUGCCGGUGACAAGCCGGAGGAAGGUGGGGAUGACGUCAAGUCCUCAUGGCCCUUAUGACCAGGGCUUCACACGUCAUACAAUGGUCGGUACAGAGGGUAGCCAAGCCGCGAGGUGGAGCCAAUCUCACAAAACCGAUCGUAGUCCGGAUUGCACUCUGCAACUCGAGUGCAUGAAGUCGGAAUCGCUAGUAAUCGCAGGUCAGCAUACUGCGGUGAAUACGUUCCCGGGUCUUGUACACACCGCCCGUCGCACCAUGGGAGUGGGGGAUACCAGAAGUAGGUAGGGUAACCGCAAGGAGCCC
rnacentral:rRNA from 1 species